rnacentral:pre_miRNA from 1 species
ACGCCACCACCGCGCCGUGACGUCACAGAGUUCAGUUCGUGUAUACACGAACUCAGCUCUGUGACGUCACGGCGCGGUGGUGUCGA